GACGCCAACGCGCCCGCCCGCAACCGCACGCAACUCUCGCGAGACUCUGACAAGCCUCGUCGCCCGCCACCGACGGCUCCGCGCCCGGUCGGGCCGCGGGGGCCCUCGACGCCGGAGCCCUCCGACCUUCCCGGUUGCCACAGCAACGCUGUUGCCUAGCUACCCGGGGACGCACUUCCUGUUGUGGAUGAGACGCGAAGCAAGAAAGGGUCAGCUUGGAUUAUAUUCAUUUUCUUCCUGAGCAAGCCCCUUAAAUUUAGGUGUGUGGAGACCCGGCGCAGACUCCUGGAAAAGAGCAAGAACCUCAGUACCUGGAAUUUAAAAGAGAGAGAGAGAGAGAGAGACAGAAAUCAUAAUGGAGAGACUGACAGGGGGACCUGCCAACCUCAGAUGCCUCAUGACCCAGGGUGGCCACCUUACUCAGUCUUUUUUGGGCUCCUUUAAAACAUUUACCUGGACCUCUGUUGGGGGCUGAUUUCAUACGCCAGGACCUGGAAGAGCACCUGCAUGCAGUGUUGAGUCUUGCCAAGAGAAAGCCACUUGCAUAAGAACCAUGAGUUUCAAGGGCCCUGACACCACCUUCCGCGCUCUUUUUGCAAAUGACAGACUCUUCCUCGGGUUUGUAUUGUGUGUAUAUCAGAAGCACCUCCUGGGUCUUUAUCUUUGCAGAUCCCUCUGCAUUCUGUUUCUUGAUGGAAACUGGACCAAUUCCUGGAUGAAAAUUGGACCAAAGACCAAUUCUUUAUAAAAGCUCCCAUUGAUUGCCAAAAAAAUUAAAAAUAAAAACAAUUGUGGUGACUUCCUAAUGAGG